rnacentral:lncRNA from 1 species
GUUAAACAAGUGCUUGAAGGCAGUAUGCUUGGUAAAAGUCAUCGCCAUUCUCUAAUCUUGAGUACCCAGGGACACGAUACACUGCGGAAGGCUGCAGGGACCUCUGCCCAGGAAAGCCAGUUUUCUAAGGAUAAUGGUCUCCAGCUUCGUCAAUGUUCCUGCAAAGGACAUGAUGCUGACUUUGAAGAUGCAAGCUUCCACAUCUACAGCCUCAAGGAAACAAAUUCAGCCAACCAACUGAGGGAGCUUUCCUUGUCCUGCCUCAAGAUGAGAUCACAGUCUGCCCAACACCAUGAUUUAGGCCUUGUGACACCUGGUAUGGAAGACCCAAUGAUGCAUAUCAUAAAUUAUUACUCACCCCAUGUUCCCACCCUCGAGAGACCUCCAAACAAUCACCAUGCCACAGUGAACAUUCAGUAACAAAAAUUCAGCCAGGGUUUUCACCAGCAUGAAUGGCAGUGAUUCCAAUCAGGAAAACAGAAAGAGGAGAGUUCAGAGCCACCUAGAAUGGCUCUUGCAAGAUACGAAAUCAAGGCAGCAGCAACAGGGCUGAACAUUCCUCAUCCCUAACUCUCCCUUCACCAGUAGGAAACCCAGGAUAACUGCAAUCACCGCAGGCCCAUCUGGCCUGAAGUUCUACUACUAGUAGCCCUCCAUGGGACCUUCUUAAGGAAGCAUGUCAACUCAGGUAAGGGAUGUAAGGGGAUGGAUGACCCUUUGAGGCCAAAGUUGGAGCAAAAAACACCAGAUGUUCCUGUGCACUGCUCCUAAGAGAUGGUUCUGAAGACCAGUUCGGGGAGAGGUCAAAAUACUGGACAGAAUCUCAGCAACAUGGAACCUCAAACUAAGUGACAGUCACAGACAACUCUUCCCCAAA